rnacentral:miRNA from 1 species
AGGAACUUCUACAUGCUCUAGG